ACCUGGGAAAGCAAAGGAAUCUGCCAAGGAGAUUGGAUAGAGAAGGUUUAGAGGGUAGUGGUGUGAAUACAAGAUCAAGUUAUUCCCACAAGAAGCUUCAAGCAGUGCCUCCACACUCCGGGACCUGAACAAGGUAUCUUUAGGACGUGCUGAGAUAGUAAUUCCCUUAGCUCUCAAGGUAACUGUGUGGGGCCUGGAGAAAGCAGAGACCCCAGGGGCUAACAUAUCUGGAUGUUUCUGGCCACAAUACAAUUAUUACUUUCUGCAUAUGCCAUGACCUAAACAAUAUUGGGAGCCUUGCCUAUUGCUCUUCAGCAAAAUAGUUACAACUAGCAGCAAGUAAUUGAUUGUGAUUACCUAAGAAAGUGACAUUUCCUAUCCAUCGCCUCAGCAACCACAAGAGAAGUAAAUAAAUCACCUCUCCUGUUUAACUAAGUGUUUGACCAAGCUACAAGGAAUGAGCCUCAUAUUUUUUAGGUGAAAAUUAUAUCUUUUUCCAACUAGUAUAUAUGGAAAAUAGAAUAUGUGCAUAUGUUUGAUUCUGUAAACUAAUGUCAAAAUUCCAGAAGAUUCUUAAAGCCUCAGGAGGAAUGACUCAACAAGGGGAAUUUGAGGAAGGGGGUAGUGCUAAAAAGCUGAAGCAGAAGAGAUUUGAUCAGUUAUUGACUAAAGGAGCUGUCAAUCAUUUCUGCUCAGCAAAUUGGGUCACAGCGUAUUAGUUCACAACAAAUUAGAUCACAGGAAAGGAGAACCCAGUGGGUGGUCCUAAAGGGAACUCAAGGUUUGAAAGGAGGUGAUGUAAGGCAGGCUGACCUUGAGAAAGAUGUGGCUGUCAUAGAAGCCAGACUCAACUGCCAUAUUAGGGUGAUGGAUGAAGACUAGAAGCUUUAGAGAAGGGUAGAGCCAGCAUUAGUUUCUGGCUGGUGUGCAUGCUUCAGUCAAACAAAAACUACACAGAAAUGUGAGGCAAAGAGGAAAGGAUCAGAAAGCAAAGAUAGAAUCUGGAACCACGGGAAACUCCAGGAGACAGGUAGAGGGAGAAGCUGGCUCGAAGCCCAGAGGCAGACACAAAAUGUCCCACUCACCGAAGGGAUCAGAACAGGGUGGGCCUGAGAAGCAGGGUCCAGAGGAGGUGCACACCAGCCCUCAGCUGGAAAAGGGCAUCGGAGAAGGUUCCGGGAGAGAUUGAAUUCCUACCCAGCUUGAUAGAUGGGCCAACCCAAACCUGCCAUGGAUUAGAAGUUGUUGACUGUCAUUUUUCCAGUUCAUAUCAAGGAAAAGGUGGCCAAGUGCAAGGAGCUGUGGAAAUCUAAGGAAAUCCAGACUGGUUAUCAGAGACCACGGGGACUGACUUCAGGCCCUCCUGCCUUCACUGCUUAGUAUCAACAGUCGUGUCUGUUUCCUUGUGGCAUCUAUCUGCCUCAGAUUUGUGUUGUGUUCCCCACAGACUGUAAACACACAGCAAAGGAAGCCUUCUCUGAGCAAUGGGCUCCCUUCCUCCAGCCCUGCUCUCCCUGGCACGUGCUCCCGUGUUUACAGGGCCAUCCCUCUAAGUGCAUAUCUGACCGUGUCACUGUCUUCUUCAAGGCCUCUCAUGGCUCCUUCUGCACAAGAAAGCACAUCGCUCAGCACCUUGCCAGUCUGAUCACCGUCCAGCUUCACCUGCACCACCUGUCAGUGCCCACCUCCCCCCCAUAACAGGAUCUGGGGACACUUGGCUUUUUGAACUUCUUGCACACAUGCUGCUCUCAAGCCUCAGAUCCAAGCUGCUCCUGCUGUCUGGAAUGGCUCUUCCCCACCCAACCUCAUCCUGCCCGUGUCACCAGCAAGCUCCUGUAACUCCUUCAGAGUCCAGGUGAGGUGUCACCUUGCUGGGGAAGCUGUUUUCAAAACUGUUAGGGACUGAACUGUGUUCCCCAAAAUGCGUAUGUUGAAAUCCUAACCACCAGCACCUAAGAAUGUGACUUUGUUUAGAGAUAGGGCCUUUUGAAAGAUGACUAAGUUAAAAUGGGGUCAUUAAGGUGGGCCCUAAUCUAAUGUGAUUGGUGUCCUUAGAAGAAGAGGACAUUGGGACCCACAGAGAGAUACCUGGAAUGUGCACGUGCAGAGGAAGGACCAUGUGAGAUGACAGGGAGAAGGCAGCCAUCAGCAAGCCAAGGAGAGAGUCCUCAGGAGAAGCCCACCCUGCUGACACGGUGAUCUUAGACUUCCAGGCUCCAGAACUGUGAGAAAUAAAUUGCUGUUGUUUAAGCCAUUCAUUUAUUGGUAUUUUAUUAUGCAGCCCAGGCAAACCAAUACAGAUGCCCAUAGAGUAGCCUUGAUUUAGGCUUUCAGCAUAACAUAUAUGCCAUCUUUUUGGCAUCUCCUAUCAGGCAGGGCUCAGAAACACUCUUUAUGCUUUACCCUAAACCCUAUGUGGCUACUGUAAACAUGUGUUAAUAAAUGUCAUCAAGAACUGGUCAGGGACACAUUCUCCUCCAA